rnacentral:rRNA from 1 species
GUAAGAAUAUUCCGCAAUGGGGGGAACCCUGACGGAGCGACGCCGCGUGAACGAAGAAGGCCGGAAGGUUGUAAAGUUCUUUUCUGUCCGAGGAAUAAGUGUAGGAGGAAAUGCCUGCAUGGUGACGGUAGGGCAGGAAUAAGCACCGGCUAAUUACGUGCCAGCAGCCGCGGUAACACGUAAGGUGCGAGCGUUGUUCGGAAUUAUUGGGCGUAAAGGGCAUGCAGGCGGGUCGCCAAGCUUGGUAAGAAAUACCGGGGCUCAACUCCGGAGCUAUAUUGAGAACUGGCGAGCUGGAGUUGCCGAAGGGUAUCCGGAAUUCCGCGUGAAGGGGUGAAAUCUGUAGAUAUGCGGAAGAACACCGAUGGCGAAGGCAGGAUACCGGCGGACGACUGACGCUGAGGUGCGAAGGUGCGGGGAGCAAACAGGAUUAGAUACCCUGGUAGUCCGCACAGUCAACGAUGUACACUGGGCGUGUGCGCAAGAGCGUGCGUGCCGAAGCAAACGCGAUAAGUGUACCGCCUGGGGAGUAUGCCCGCAAGGGUG